GCCCUGAGCCUCUCACAGCACGGAGGUGGAGCUGCAAAAUUACCCUGAAGCUGAGCAUCUCAAAGCUGAAGCAACCCUAGUGGUCAUCUCCUGUGAUUUUCCAUUUUACUACAAUAUUCCUCAUAGCAAGACAACCAUCCUCUGUUUGAACACUCCAAGGACAGGGAGUUCUCUCUUUCUCACAAGAGCAACUCUUAUCAUUCAACAGCUCUAAUCAUUAAAAUGCCUACAGUUAUAUGGUGUCAAAUUAUACCUCUGAAUAACUUGGAUCGUUUUGUCUUUUAGACUUGUACAAAAAAUGCCCAUGGCCACUGACCCAAGAUCCAGCAUGAGGAGAAGUUUGAUGAAAAAGACAAAGGUCUCAACCAAUUGUGUUUUAAACUCGUUCGAAUUUUUGCAAAAGUAUAAGCCUACAGGCUUCCCUGAUGGCUCAGCAGCUGUGCGGCAUAGCUUGUGGGAUCUUGGUUUCCCCGACCAGGGAUCAGGUCCCCUGCAGUGGAAGCAUGGAGUUCUAACAACUGGACCACCAGGGAAGUCCCCAUUCAUGCCUAGAGUUAACAG
ensembl:lncRNA